rnacentral:rRNA from 1 species
UCCUACGGNNNGCNGCAGUGGGGAAUAUUGCACAAUGGGCGAAAGCCUGAUGCAGCUAUGCCGCGUGUAUGAAGAAGGCCUUCGGGUUGUAAAGUACUUUCAACAAGAAAGAAAUAAUAAGAUUUAAUACAUUUUAUUACUGACGUUACUUGUAAAAGAAGCACCGGCUAACUCCGUGCCAGCAGCCGCGGUAAUACGGAGGGUGCUAGCNUUAAUCGGAAUUACUGGGCGUAAAGAGCACGUAGGCGGUUAAUUAAGUCAGGUGUGAAAUCCCUAAGCUUAACUUAGGAACUGCAUUUGAAACUAAUUAACUUGAGUUUCGUAGAGGGGGGUAGAAUUCUAGGUGUAGCGGUGAAAUGCGUAGAUAUCUGGAGGAAUACCAGUGGCGAAGGCGACCCCCUGGACGAAUACUGACGCUCAGGUGCGAAAGCAUGGGGAGCAAACAGGAUUAGAUACCCUGGUAGUCCAUGCCGUAAACGAUGUCGACUUGAAGGUUGUAAGCUUGACUUAUAGCUUUCGUAGCUAACGCGUUAAGUCGACCGCCUGGGGAGUACGACCGCAAGGUUAAAACUCAAAUGAAUUGACGGGGGCCCGCACAAGCGGUGGAGCAUGUGGUUUAAUUCGAUGCAACGCGAAAAACCUUACCUGGUCUUGACAUCCAUGGRAUUUAAUAGAGAUAUUUUAGUGCNUUCGGGAACCAUGAGACAGGUGCUGCAUGGCUGUCGUCAGCUCGUGUUGUGAAAUGUUGGGUUAAGUCCCGCAACGAGCGCAACCCUUAUUCUUUGUUGCCAUCAGCUAGGCUGGGAACUCAAAGAASACUGCCGGUGAUAAACCGGAGGAAGGUGAGGACGACGUCAAGUCAUCAUGGCCCUUACGACCAGGGCUACACACGUGCUACAAUGGUAUAUACAAAGAGAAGCAUCCUUGUAAAAGUAAGCGGAUCUCACAAAAUAUAUCUUAGUUCGGAUUAGAGUCUGCAACUCGACUCUAUGAAGUCGGAAUCGCUAGUAAUCGUAGAUCAGAAUGCUACGGUGAAUACGUUCCCGGGCCUUGUACACACCGCCCGUCACACCAUGGGAGUGGGUUGUAAAAGAAGUAAGCUAUUUAACCUUUGUAAAAGGAGGAUGCUUACCACUUUAUGAUUCAUMACUGGGG